rnacentral:rRNA from 1 species
UUUUGGACAAUGGGGGCAACCCUGAUCCAGCAAUGCCGCGUGAGUGAAGAAGGCCUUCGGGUUGUAAAGCUCUUUUGUCCGGGAAGAAAUCCCAUCUGUUAAUACCGGGUGGGGAUGACGGUACUGGAAGAAUAAGCACCGGCUAACUACGUGCCAGCAGCCGCGGUAAUACGUAGGUGGCGAACGUUAUCCGGAGUGACUGGGUGUAAAGGGUCCGUAGGCGGGAGGACAAGUCUGACGUGAAAGCGCCCGGCUCAACUGGGCGAGUGCGUUGGAAACUGUCUUUCUUGAAUCACGCAGAGGUCGGCGGAAUUCCCGGUGUAGUGGUGGAAUGCGUAGAGAUCGGGAGGAACCUCGAAAGCGAAGGCAGCCGACUGGGGGAUGAUUGACGCUGAGGGACGAAAGCGUGGGGAGCGAAC